AUUGAACGCUGGCGGCAGGCCUAACACAUGCAAGUCGAACGAGUGGCGGACGGGUGAGUAAUGUCUGGGAAAGCGCCUGGUGGGGGGAGAUCACCACUGGAAAGGGGCGCUAAUACCGCAUACCAUGGGAUGCGCACAGAUGGGAUGAGCUAGUGGGUGGGGGAAGGGCUCACCUAGGCGACGAUCCAUAGCUGGUCUGAGAGGAUGACCAGCCACCCUGGAACUGAGACACGGUCCAGACUCCUACGGGAGGCAGCAGUGGGGAAUAUUGCACAAUGGGCGCAAGCCUGAUGCAGCCAUGCCGCGUGUAUGAAGAAGUCCUUCGGGUUGUAAAGCACUUUCAGCGGGGAGGCGUUACCCGCAGAAGAAGCACCGGCUAACUCCGUGCCAGCAGCCGCGGUAAUUC
rnacentral:rRNA from 1 species